rnacentral:rRNA from 1 species
AGUGAACGCUGGCGGUAGGCCUAACACAUGCAAGUCGAACGGCAGCACAGUAAGAGCUUGCUCUUACGGGUGGCGAGUGGCGGACGGGUGAGGAAUACAUCGGAAUCUACUUUUUCGUGGGGGAUAACGUAGGGAAACUUACGCUAAUACCGCAUACGACCUACGGGUGAAAGCAGGGGAUCUUCGGACCUUGCGCGAUUGAAUGAGCCGAUGUCGGAUUAGCUAGUUGGCGGGGUAAAGGCCCACCAAGGCGACGAUCCGUAGCUGGUCUGAGAGGAUGAUCAGCCACACUGGAACUGAGACACGGUCCAGACUCCUACGGGAGGCAGCAGUGGGGAAUAUUGGACAAUGGGCGCAAGCCUGUUCCAGCCAUACCGCGUGGGUGAAGAAGGCCUUCGGGUUGUAAAGCCCUUUUGUUGGGAAAGAAAAGCAGCAGGUUAAGACCCCGCUGUUCUGACGGUACCCAAAGAAUAAGCACCGGCUAACUUCGU